GACGAGCGCUGGCGGCGUGCCUAAUACAUGCAAGUAGAACGCACAGUUUAUACCGUAGCUUGCUACACCAUAGACUGUGAGUUGCGAACGGGUGAGUAACGCGUAGGUAACCUGCCUGGUAGCGGGGGAUAACUAUUGGAAACGAUAGCUAAUACCGCAUAAUAUUGAUUAUUGCAUGAUAAUUGAUUGAAAGAUGCUAUUGCAUCACUACCAGAUGGACCUGCGUUGUAUUAGCUAGUAGGUGAGGUAACGGCUCACCUAGGCGACGAUACAUAGCCGACCUGAGAGGGUGAUCGGCCACACUGGGACUGAGACACGGCCCAGACUCCUAUGGGAGGCAGCAGUAGGGAAUCUUCGGCAAUGGACGAAAGUCUGACCGAGCAACGCCGCGUGAGUGAAGAAGGUUUUCGGAUCGUAAAGCUCUGUUGUAAGAGAAGAACGGGUGUGAGAGUGGAAAGUUCACACUGUGACGGUAUCUUACCAGAAAGGGACGGCUAACUACGUG
rnacentral:rRNA from 1 species